UCUCCUGGAAAAACGGGUGGUAAUGCCGGAUGCUCCAGUUGAUCGCAUGGUGUUCUGGGAAAGCCUUUGCGGCAUGGGAUGGGGUCGCGUCCUAUCAGCUUGAUGGCGGGGUAACGGCCCACCAUGGCUUCGACGGGUAGCCGGCCUGAGAGGGCGACCGGCCACAUUGGGACUGAGAUACGGCCCAGACUCCUACGGGAGGCAGCAGUGGGGAAUAUUGCACAAUGGGCGCAAGCCUGAUGCAGCGACGCCGCGUGAGGGAUGGAGGCCUUCGGGUUGUAAACCUCUUUUGUUAGGGAGCAAGGCAUUUUGUGUUGAGUGUACCUUUCGAAUAAGCACCGGCUAACUACGUGCCAGCAGCCGCGGUAAUACGUAGGGUGCAAGCGUUAUCCGGAAUUAUUGGGCGUAAAGGGCUCGUAGGCGGUUCGUCGCGUCCGGUGUGAAAGUCCAUCGCUUAACGGUGGAUCCGCGCCGGGUACGGGCGGGCUUGAGUGCGGUAGGGGAGACUGGAAUUCCCGGUGUAACGGUGGAAUGUGUAGAUAUCGGAAAGAACACCAC
rnacentral:rRNA from 1 species